AGAGUUUGAUCCUGGCUCAGAACGAACGCUGGCGGCAGGCUUAACACAUGCAAGUUGAACGGGAUUUGUGUGGUGCUUGCACCAUAUAAUGAGAGUAGCGCACUGGUGAGUAACACGUGGGAACGUGCCUUUUAGUGGGGGAUAACAUCUGGAAACGGAUGCUAAUACCGCAUACGCCCUGAGGGGGAAAGAUUUAUUGCUAAGAGGUCGGCCCGCGGUAGAUUAGGCAGUUGGUGGGGUAAAGGCCUACCAAACCUACGAUCUAUAGCUGGUCUGAGAGGACGAUCAGCCACAUUGGAACUGAGACACGGUCCAGACUCCUACGGGAGGCAGCAGUGAGGAAUAUUGGGCAAUGGAGGCAACUCUGACCCAGCCAUGCCGCGUGAGUGAGAAGGUUUUCGAAUUGUAAAGCUCUUUCGGGUGUGAAGAUGAUGACGGUAACACCAGAAGAAGCCCCGGCAAACUUCGUGCCAGCAGCCGCGGUAAUACGAAGGGGGCGAGCGUUGUUCGGAAUUACUGGGCGUAAAGGGUGUGUAGGCGGUUAAGUAAGAUAGUGGUGAAAUGCCGGGGCUCAACCUCGGAAUUGCCAUUAUGACUAUUUAGCUAGAAUGAUGCAGAGGAUAGCGGAAUACCCAGUGUAGAGGUGAAAUUCGUAGAUAUUGGGUAGAACACCAGAGGCGAAGGCGGCUAUCUGGGCAUUGAUUGACGCUGAGGCACGAAAGCAUGGGGAUCAAACAGGAUUAGAUACCCUGGUAGUCCAUGCCGUAAACGAUGAAUGCUAGUUGU
rnacentral:rRNA from 1 species